rnacentral:lncRNA from 1 species
AGGUGAGGUGUGGCAAAAUUAAAAAGAAAAAAAGAAGAAAAGUAUAACGCAGUUCAUUUCCAAAAGUCCAGAUACUUUCUGUGAUUCAUAUAGAGAUGUAACUAUUCCUUCAAAUGUAUCAUUGUGAGGUUAUAUUUUUCUUCAGUAUAAAUUCUGCUUUUUAACAUAAGAAGGAUACCCCAUUCUGGUUGCAUUCUGUUUAACUAAGAGUUGUCAUUUGUUUUGUUAUUUAAUUACCCAUUUUCAAAGACUUAGAAAACAGUAAAGUACAUUGACCAUAAAAACCUCCCCUAAAUUAGCUGGGCAUGGUGGCAUGUGCCUGUAGUCCCAGCUACGCGGGAGGCUGAGGCAGGAGAAUCGCUUGAACCUGGGAAGUAGAGGUUGCAAUGAGCCAAAAUCGCACCACUGCACUCCAGCUUGGGCGACAGAGGGAGACUCCAUCUCAAACAAACAAAUAAACAAACAAACAAAAAACCUCCCUGUACACCAUUUCAACUCUUGAAUAAUACACCAGGUCUAUAGUAGAAUUUUCUCUUCUGUUUUGCUCUUUUGGCAGGACUCUGUGUUUAUUUGGCGCCAAAUAGGCUUUUGAUUCAGGAAGGACGUAUGAAUUAGGAAUGCACUUGGCUGUGAUUAACAGCAAGUCUGUCAGCAUUAGAUUGUUAUGGUUAAAAGUCUGGUUGUAGGAAGUUUAGGCUACUACAGCAGCUCCUCAAGUUUGCAAUCAAAGGCACAGGUUCUUUCCAGCUUCUACUCUGCUCUUCCUAACAUGUGGCUUUUGUCCUCCUAAUUGCAAGAUAAAUGCUUUACAUUCAGAUUCCUCGCAGAAAUAAAGGUGAAAGUUAAAGGCCAAUGGGCUUUCUCCAAAUCAAAUAUUACUCAGGAAAGAACACGCUCUCCAGGUAAAUCUGCCCAUACCUUAUGGACCCAAACUGUGCCCCAUGGCAAACCCUAGCUGGAAGGAGAUCUGAGCAAAUAAGUAUUUUUAGUUCAGCACAUUGACACCCCCAAUAAAAUAUGGUUCUCUUUUCUCUUAGAAAGUAUGUGGAAAUUGGAUAGCUAGCCAGAAUAUCUGCCACAUAGGAUGAUUGUAUUCUCUUUAUCCUAGGAAAGUCUCAGUUGAAGAAGAUAGAAAGGCUUUCAAGGAAAAAUAGAAUGGAAGGAGAAGUGCAAUACACAUUUUUUAGCCAAAUAAAAUUGCUGUAAGUUGAGUUGUUUUGAUGACUGUAAACAGUACUAUUUCUUUUGUAGAUUGUCCUUUUCUGCGACAUCACUGAUCUGAAUUGCAAGAGACACAAGUACACACGCAAGUCACAGCCAACUGAAAGCAAAGCAAGGGUUAAGGACACUGAGUAAUUGCUCCUGGACAAGGCUAAGAGGACUAUGGGUCAUCCAGGACAGCCCAGUUCUACUGAGCCACCUUAAUGAAGAGUGAACAGUCCUGCCUUAGACCUGGGUAUGAGAGGCUACCACCCCAGUACUUAUGCUUGAAAGGGUCCCACUCCGGCUAUCCUCCAGCGAGAACUCCUCUCCAUGGGUCCAGGAGUCAGCAGAGCCAAGGACACAACCCCAGUGGCUGCUGUCCCCCUCGAGGCCACACUCCAGGAACCAGAGUGCUGGAAUUCCCUGCCACCAAUCCAGGUGCACUCCUUCAACCUACACAGGACUCUCUCUAGGCCCUUCCAUCCAAGUGUUUGAAGAGUAGCCAAGAGGCAGCUUUUAUUGGGACCAGAGCUUGGACAAAUGAGCUGUGCUACCACACAAGGGUGUGAGGGCCCUCUGAUUCUGGACAGUGUAGAAGGAAGGUGGGCCAGGGGUCAUGUCUCUUCACAUUCUGGUGCAAGACUCCAUUGGUCCAAAAAUUUUACAUUUAAAUCUAGCCUUCCAUGACACUAUGUCAGGGUAGAACAUAUUGCACUUAAUGGUUUAAGAGCUUCACUAAUCAUUUUCAAAUAUUUAGGCAUCAACAUGCCUUCAUUUCUAUUUCCCCUCCAGGUCCCACUCCUGUCCUACAAUAAUCAUCAUCCUCAAUACACAUAUUUUGAAAAUGUAGAUUAUUAUAUUAGAUCUUGCUGAAAGCAGCACUCAGUUCAAUAAAAGUAGCAUACACACAUUUUUAUUCUUUCUUUCUUUUUUUUUUUGGAUGGAGUUUUGCUCAUGUUGCCCAGGCUGGAGUGCAAUGACACAGUCUUAGCUCACUGCAAUCUCCACCUCCCAGGUUCAAGAGAUUGUCCUGCCUCAGCCUCCCAAGUAGCUGGGAUUACAGGCACGUACCAUCACACGCGGCUAAUUUUUUUUUUUAUUUUUAGUGGAGACGUGGUUUCACUAUGUUGGCCAGGCUGGUCUCGAACUCCUGACCUCAGGUGAUCCACCCGCCUCGGCCUCCCAAAGUGCUGGGAUUACAGGCGUGAGCCACCAUGCCUGGCCCACACAUUUUUAUUCUAAACAUUUCCUUGAAUAGUACCUCUUUAUCUUCAUGAAUGUAGUAGGGCACACAGGUGAAUUGUUUUCUAUGCCUGUGACAAGGGACAAUUUGAAAGUAAUGAAGCAUAGCACAUUAAACGCCUUUCUUCAAAGGAAUCUAUGAAGCUUGGCCUAAAAUCCUGUGGUUCUCUGUUUCAACACAAUCUCAUAUCUUUUAAAUUCUGUUUGUAAACUAUUUUUUUAAUUUUUUGAGAGCAUGUCAGUGAAUAAAUUAUUUUAGCCAAUUCAUAGAUAAACUGAGCUUCAAAGAAAGCAUAAGGUAUUACUCUGUCUCUAACAACAUUGUGUCCUGGGCCAUGAAGUCAGAACUAGGACAUGAAGUAUAAAUUAAAGAUAAAACUCCUCUAUGAGAACCUGGCUUUCUGCAUGCAGGCUGGACUUCCCAGAGCCAUUUCCCUAACUUUCCAUGGCUUCUGCAUUCUGGAGCCAUCUGUGCUCAGCGCCGCUCCAGGUCAAGGGCUGUGUCAGCAGCAUGUGAUGCUGAGAUUCCAAGUGGGGGCAGAUCCGCUUGAAACUGGGCUUUGCUGAAAUAGAUCAAUUCUUUUUAAUUAUAUUUUGACCAAGCGUGCAUAAAUAAAUUUCAUCAUUUUGGCAUCCACAUCACUCAUCUCUGUCAAUACCAUAUUCCCAACACUGGCAGAGCUGCCUGUGACUAAGCUUGACGCAUAUGCUCCCUGGACCUUACACCACUGUGGCAGCCAUGACAUGAAUUUUAUUUUGUGAAAUAUUUAUAACAUUUCCCACCACCAUCAUCAUUCAAUGGGGGGCUUUGGCAGCCUGCCACAGAGACAGAACCAAAGGGAAAGUGACUUCUGUGUGAGAAUGGUAGGUGCUUUUUGUGUGUAUGUUGGGAGGGGGUGCCUUUCAGCUUCUUUCUAAAGUCUGAGAUUAUCUACUAUUUAGAAUUAGUUAUACCAUCUCUCACCCACUAACUGAAUAUGUAAGUGGCUCAGGGAAUUAGUAAUCAUAGUCCCAGAUUUUCAUUUCUCUUACCCACAUUGAGUUUCAAUUAUGUACAUUGUGUCAAUAGGGACGUCAUAUUUUUCUGAAGAGUUGUAAUGAAGUGGGCUUUGUGAAUCUGCAGUCAUUGAACCUAGAUAUUUGUAGGGCUUCCCCGUUUUAUCACACCACUCCUGCCUUAAGAGGUACUUCCUGACCAUCCACUUUAAAUUACACCUUUCUGCAGUCAGUGCUAUGGCAUCACCCUGCUCUGUUGUCUCAGUGGUAUUUAUCACUAUCCAAAAUUUCAUGGAAUACUUAUUUGUUUGCUUUUUGUUUUCUCCAUUCCAAUCCCACUACAUUCAGACAUUUUAGUUAUGAAGUCCUAUUAUGAAGAAGGACCUCCUGUAUCUUCUAAAAAAUGUAACAGCUUUAUUGAGAUAUAAUUCACAUAUCAUACAAUUCAUCCAUUUAAAGUGGACACUUAGAUGGUCUUUGGUAUAUUCAGAGUUGUGCAACCAUCACCACAAUGAAUUUUAGAACAUUUUCAUCAUUCCAGAAGAAAACUCACACAUCAGCCCUCUCUCCUCAUUCUUCCAACCCCUUUCCCUAAUUUCUAACCAACUCUUCAUCUACUUACUGUCUCUUUAGAUUGGCCUAUUCUGGAUAUCUCACAUAAAUGGAAUACACAAUAUGGGGUCUUCUGUGUCUGGCUUCUUUUAUUUAGUACAAUGUUUCAACAUCCUAACAUGAUAUCAGUACAGUCAUCCCUGGUCCCUAGGUAUCUGUGGGGGAUUGGUUCUAGGACACCUUGUGGAUACCCAAAUCCACAGAUGCUCAAGCCUGUUAUAUAAAAUGGUAUAAUAUUUGCAUAUAACCUAUGCACAUCCUCCUAUUCUCCUAUAUACUUUAAGUCAUCUCUAGAUUACUUAUAAUGCCUAAUAAAGUGUAAAUGCUAUGUAAAUAGUUAUAUCGUAUUUUUAAAAUUUGUAUUAUAUUUAUUGUUGGUUGCUAUUUUUUAUUGUUUUUUAAAAUAUUUUCAAUCUGCAUUUGGUUGAAUCUGUGGAUGUGGAACCCACAGAAAGGGAGAGCUGAUUGUACUUCAUUCCACUGCAUGACUGUAUCACACUUUAUUUAUUCAAUAAUCAGUCAAUGACAUUUGGAUUAUUUCCACUUUUUGGCUGUUAUGAAUAAUGUGCUAUGAACUUUCAUGUACAAGUUUUUGUGUUGACAUAUGCUUUCAUUUCCCUUGGGUAUACACCUAAGAGUGAAACUGCUGGGUCAUAUAGCAACUCCAUAUUUAACCCUUUAAGGAUCUGCCAGAUUGCUUUAGAAAGUGGCUGCACCAUGUUGCAAUUUCCCUGCCUCCUUACCAACACUUAUUAUUAUCUGUCUUUUUUAUUAUAGCCAUCCUCAAGUGUGUGAAGGAGUAUCCUAUUGUAGUUUUAACUUGCAUUUCUCUGAUGGUUAAUGAGAUUGAGCAUUUCAUCAUGUGCUUAUUAGCCAUUUGUAUAUUUUCUUUGCAGAAAUAUCUGUCAGAUCCUUUGUACAUUUUUAAAUUAGAUUUUCCAAUUUAUAUGUUAUAAGAAUUCUUUAUAUAUCAAGAUACAAGUCAUUUGCCAGACUUAUAAUUUGGAAAUAUAUUCUCCCAUUUUGUGAAGUUUCUUUUCUUUUCUUUUUUUCUUCAACUUUUAUUUUAAGUUCUUGGGUACAUGUGCAGGAUAUGCAGGUUUGUUACAUAGGUAAACGUGUGCCAUGGUGGUUUGUGGCACAGAUCAACCCAUCUGUGUAUUAAGCCCAGCAUCCAUUGGCUAUUCUUCCUGAUACUCUCCCUCCCCCUGCCCCCUGACAGGUCCCAGUGUGUGUUGUUCCCCACCACGUGUCCAUGGGUUCCCAUUGUUCAGCUCCCACUUAUAAGUGAGAACGUGUGGUGUCUAGUUUUCUGUUCCUGUGUUAGUUUGCUGAGGAUAAUGACUUCCAGCUCCAUCCAUGUCUCUGCAAAGGAUAUGAUCUCAUUCCUUUUUAUAGCUGCAUAGUAUUCCAUGGUGUAUAUGUACCACAUUUUCUUUUCUAUCAUUGAUGGGCAUUUGGGUUGAUUCCAUGUCUUUGCUAUUGUGACUAAUGCUGCAAUGAACAUAUGCAUGCAUGUAUCUUUGUAUUAGAAUAAUUUAUAUUCCGUUGGAUAUAUACCCAGUAAUGGGAUUGCUGGGUCAAAUGGUAUUUCUGCUUCUAGAUCUUCCACAAUGGUUGAAUUAAUUUACACUCCCACCAACAGUGUGCAAGUGUUCCUUUUUCUCUGCCACCUCACCAGCAUCUGUUGCUUCUUGACUUCUUAAUAAUUGCCAUUCUGACUGGUGUAAGAUGGUAUCUCAUUUUGGUUUCGAUUUGCAGUUCUCUAAUAAUUAGUGUUGUUGAGCUUUUUUUUCAUAUUUUUUUUGGCUGCAUGAAUGUCUUCUUUUGAGAAGUGUCUGUUCAUGUGCUUUGCCUAGUUUUUAAUGGGGUUGUUUGUUUUUUUCUUGUAAAUUUGUUUAAGUUAUUUGUCAACUCUGGAUACUAGACCUUAGUCAGAUGGAUAGAUUGUGAAAAUGUUCUCCCAUCCUGUAGGUUGUUUUCUCUUUCUUGAUGAUGUUCUUUGAAGCACAACAAUUUUUCACUUUGAUGAAGUUAAAUUUAUCUACUUUUUAUUUUGUCACUUGUGCUUUUGGUGUCAUAUAUAAGAAGGCUUUGCUUAACCCAAGGGCAUGAAGAUUUACUCUUAUGCUUUUUUCUAAGUUUUAUAGUUGUAGCCUUUUCAUUUAAACCUAUUAUUUAUUUUAAGUUAAUUUUUGUGUAUGGUAUGAGAGGAGUCAUUUAUCUUUUUUAUCAUUUCUCAGUGCCUAGAGUGUUUGGAACAUAAUAGAUGCCUUAUGAAUAUUUCGUGAGUGAAAGAUUCCAUGAUGAGAAAAAUGGUAUUCGCCUCAUGACGAAUGAUAUUCAGCAUAUUUUCAUGUGCCUGUUUCUUAUUUCUACAUACCUUUCUGGGAAGUGUCUUCUAAUAUUUUGCCCU